GACGAACGCUGGCGGCGUGCCUAAUACAUGCAAGUUGAGCGCUGAAGGUUGGUACUUGUACCAACUGGAUGAGCAGCGCACGGGUGAGCAACGCGUGGGGAAUCUGCCUUUGAGCGGGGGACAACAUUUGGAAACGAAUGCUAAUACCGCAUAAAAACUUUAAACACAAGUUUUAAGUUUGAAAGAUGCAAUUGCAUCACUCAAAGAUGAUCCCGCGUUGUAUUAGCUAGUUGGUGAGGUAAAGGCUCACCAAGGCGAUGAUACAUAGCCGACCUGAGAGGGUGAUCGGCCACAUUGGGACUGAGACACGGCCCAAACGCCUACGGGAGGCAGCAGUAGGGAAUCUUCGGCAAUAGACGAAAGUCUGACCGAGCAACGCCGCGUGAGUGAAGAAGGUUUUCGGAUCGUAAAACUCGGUUGGUAGAGAAGAACGUUGGUGAGAGUGGAAAGCUCAUCAAGUGACGGUAACUACCCAGAAAGGGACGGCUAACUACGUG
rnacentral:rRNA from 1 species